GACGAACGCUGGCGGCGUGCCUAAUACAUGCAAGUCGAGCGAGACUCUUCGGAGUCUAGCGGCGGACGGGUGAGUAACACGUGGGCAACCUGCCUGUAAGACUGGGAUAACACCGGGAAACCGGUGCUAAUACCGGAUAAUCCUUUUUCUCUCAUGAGGGAAAGCUGAAAGUCGGUUUCGGCUGACACUUACAGAUGGGCCCGCGGCGCAUUAGCUAGUUGGUGAGGUAAUGGCUCACCAAGGCGACGAUGCGUAGCCGACCUGAGAGGGUGAUCGGCCACACUGGGACUGAGACACGGCCCAGACUCCUACGGGAGGCAGCAGUAGGGAAUCUUCCACAAUGGACGAAAGUCUGAUGGAGCAACGCCGCGUGAGCGAUGAGGGCCUUCGGGUCGUAAAGCUCUGUUGUUAGGGAAGAACAAGUACCGGAGUAACUGCCGGUACCUUGACGGUACCUAACCAGAAAGCCACGGCUAACUACGUGCCAGCCGCCGCGGUAACAC
rnacentral:rRNA from 1 species